GACGAACGCUGGCGGCGUGCCUAAUACAUGCAAGUAGAACGCACAGUUUAUACCGUAGCUUGCUACACCAUAGACUGUGAGUUGCGAACGGGUGAGUAACGCGUAGGUAACCUGCCUGGUAGCGGGGGAUAACUAUUGGAAACGAUAGCUAAUACCGCAAAUAUUGAUUAUUGCAUGAUAAUUAAUUGAAAGGUGCAAUUGCACCACUACCAGAUGGACCUGCGUUGUAUUAGCUAGUAGGUGAGGUAACGGCUCACCUAGGCGACGAUACAUAGCCGACCUGAGAGGGUGAUCGGCCACACUGGGACUGAGACACGGCCCAGACUCCUACGGGAGGCAGCAGUAGGGAAUCUUCGGCAAUGGACGAAAGUCUGACCGAGCAACGCCGCGUGAGUGAAGAAGGUUUUCGGAUCGUAAAGCUCUGUUGUAAGAGAAGAACGGGUGUGAGAGUGGAAAGUUCACACUGUGACGGUAUCUUACCAGAAAGGGACGGCUAACUACGU
rnacentral:rRNA from 1 species